rnacentral:rRNA from 1 species
AGAAUCAACGCUGGCGGCGUGCCUAACACAUGCAAGUCGAACGAGAAAGUGGAGCAAUCCAUGAGUAAAGUGGCGACCGGGUGAGUAACACGUGACUAACCUACCUUCGAGUGGGGGAUAACCCCGGGAAACCGGGCUAAUACCGCAUAACAUCGCAAGAUCAAAGCAGCAAUGCGCUGGAAGAGGGGGUCGCGGCUGAUUAGCUAGUUGGCGGGGUAACGCCCACCAAGGCGAAGAUCGGUA